rnacentral:rRNA from 1 species
GACGAACGCUGGCGGCGUGCUUAACACAUGCAGGUCGAUCGGUAACAGGUGUAGCAAUACAUGCUGACGAGAGGCGGACGGGUGAGUAAUGCUUGGGAAUCUGCCUAUUAGUGGGGGACAACCCGGGGAAACUCGGGCUAAUACCGCAUACGCUCUACGGAGGAAAGCCGGGGACCGCAAGGCCUGGCGCUAAUAGAUGAGCCCAAGUCGGAUUAGCUAGUUGGUAGGGUAACGGCCACCAAGGCGACAAUCCGUAGCUGGUCUGAGAGGACGACCAGCCACACCGGAACUGAGACACGGUCCGGACUCCUACGGGAGGCAGCAGUAAGGAAUAUUGGACAAUGGAGGCAACUCUGAUCCAGCCAUGCCGCGUGAAGGAU